rnacentral:rRNA from 1 species
GAUGAACGCUGGCGGCGUGCCCAAUACAUGCAAGUCGAGCGAACGGACGAGAAGCUUGCUUCUCUGAUGUUAGCGGCGGACGGGUGAGUAACACGUGGAUAACCUACCUAUAAGACUGGGAUAACUUCGGGAAACCGGAGCUAAUACCGGAUAAUAUUUUGAACCGCAUGGUUCAAAAGUGAAAGACGGUCUUGCUGUCACUUAUAGAUGGAUCCGCGCUGCACUAGCUAGUUGGUAAGGUAACGGCUUACCAAGGCAACGAUGCAUAGCCGACCUGAGAGGGUGAUCGGCCACACUGGAACUGAGACACGGUCCAGACUCCUACGGGAGGCAGCAGUAGGGAAUCUUCCGCAAUGGGCGAAAGCCUGACGGAGCAACGCCGCGUGAGUGAUGAAGGUCUUCGGAUCGUAAAACUCUGUUAUUAGGGAAGAACAUAUGUGUAAGUAACUGUGCACAUCUUGACGGUACCUAAUCAGAAAGCCACGGCUAACUACGUG